UACGUAGGGGGCAAGCGUUGUCCGGAUUUAUUGGGCGUAAAGAGCGUGUAGGCGGCCAGACAGGACCGUUGUGAAAACUAGAGGCUUAACCUCUAGACGUCGAUGGAAACCGUUUGGCUAGAGUCCGGAAGAGGCGAGUGGAAUUCCUGGUGUAGCGGUGAAAUGCGCAGAUAUCAGGAGGAACACCGAUGGCGAAGGCAGCUCGCUGGGACGGUACUGACGCUGAGACGCGAAAGCGUGGGGAGCGAACAGGAUUAGAAACCCCAGUAGU
rnacentral:rRNA from 1 species